UACACGGCUUUGUUAAUGGGAAGUUCAUAGGUUCUAUGCACGGAACUUUCAAAGCGCAUAGAUUUUUGCUAGAGAAAAAUGUGUCAUUGAAUAAUGGCACAAA